GACAAAAAUACAGAGUAAGUCAUUUUUUUUGCAGUGUGACUCCAUUGAAUGUUCUUGUGUGAUAAAGAAAGUCUCUCUUUUUUUGUGUGGUGUGUGUGUGUGAUGACCGGGCCAAAACUGAUAUGGCAGCAGGUCAAAAUCAAAUACAAGAACUUUCUGCAGGCGGCAGUGAAAAAGAAUACCCAGAGACAAGGCAUGGGUGGUGGGUCACCAAAAGCUGACCUCACCCCAGCAGAAGCCAGCUUUGGAGCUAAUAAAGGCGGGCCUGUUGGAGGGGAUCCCUGGGGGAAAAGAGACAAGCAUAGGUCCCUCACAAGAUGCCACCCGCUUCAUACAAGUGUCUGGCAGCACUGUGUUACUGUUAAAGCCACCAGCACAAGCACCAGACGAUGCUGAUCCAGUGAGUACUCCAUCAAAGGCAUACUGUAGGCCUGGCAUGUCUUGUCUACUAGCUUCAAUAUGAAUCCAAUUAAAUGUGAUUGGGUCAAGGCCCCAUUUCAUCAGCACAUUUCAUCGGCGAUGAUUAUGAGGAGACCAUCUCUCUGGAUUCCAGAAGGCAUAAGGACCCAGUGUCAUUGGUGCACUGGACUGCACACACAUAAGGAUAAAAGCCCCCUCAGGUGCCCAUGAGGCAGAUUUUGUAAAUAUGAAAUCUUUUCACAGCAUUAAUGUUCAGGUGAACAUAACUUUUUGAUCUUUUCCAUUGAACACUGGCAAAAUGGCCUGGCUCAGUCCAUGACUCCAGAAUCUUUCAGACCUCUGAAGUCUAUCAGUGCCUAUCACAAGGUGAGCCACACAACCCCUAUUAAUAACCACUUUUUACAUAAUGGAUGUGUCAAGAAUAUCACUGUGUUUAUGACGUAGUAAUGAGAUUUUGUGUUGACAGGUGAAUUCUCUGGUGUGUUCCUGGGAGACAGGGGGUAUGACUGCCAGCCUUUUUUCCUGACACCUUUCACAAACCCCCAGGAAGCACAGCAGGCCUACAACUAUGCCCAUGCCAGGUGUCAUUGGUGCACUGGACUGCACACACAUAAGGAUAAAAGCCCCCUCAGGUGCCCAUGAGGCAGAUUUUGUAAAUAUGAAAUCUUUUCACAGCAUUAAUGUUCAGGUGAACAUAACUUUUUGAUCUUUUCCAUUGAACACUGGCAAAAUGGCCUGGCUCAGUCCAUGACUCCAGAAUCUUUCAGACCUCUGAAGUCUAUCAGUGCCUAUCACAAGGUGAAUUCUCUGGUGUGUUCCUGGGAGACAGGGGGUAUGGCUGCCAGCCUUUUUUCCUGACACCUUUCACAGACCCCCAGGAAGCACAGCAGGCCUACAACUAUGCCCAUGCCAGGACCAGGGCCAGAGUUGAAAUGACCUUUGGCCUCCUGAAGGCACGCUCUCACUGCCUUCACAAAUUAAGGGUCAGCCCUUUGAGGGCAUGUGACAUUACAGUGGCUUGUGGUGUCCUCCACAAUGUGGCCUGCCUGAGGAAGGAGAGGGCCCCCAGAGUGCCGCCAGCCAUGGACUGGGACAAUCCGGAAAUCUCCCCUGAUGACGACAGUGGUCGGCUGCUGAGGGACCAAUAUGUGAUGAAUUAUUUUAGUUAGUAUGUGUGCUUUCAAUUUUGUUUUUUUAUUGAUUUGGCCUCUUUUGACGUUUGUGCUGUAUACUGUGUGUAUACUGUUUGUAAUACAAGCUUGUAGGGAGGCUACUGCGUCCAUUAAUUGUCUUAUUUUCAGUUGUCUGAAAUUGUCUGUUCAGUUAAUGUGUAUUGAUUUGUCCUGCAUUUAUUUCAGUGUGCAGACAUGCAGGGUGUGUUAUAUACAGACCUUUGAAUGUGUAUUUAUCCUUUGGUUGUAUAAUAUGCUUUGAUUCUGUGCUUUCCAUCUUGUAGAGUCACUGUGUGACUUCAGUUUCGAAAGAAGCUGAUGGUUUACCUGCUUUG